AUGUUGUCUGCGGAAUCAUCUUCGCAGGGGAGGAAAGAGUUCGAGUCGGAGGUGAAGAUCAUAAGUCGGCUGAGGCACCGGAACCUUGUGCACUUGCUAGGCUGGUCCGAUAGCCGCAAGGGGCUCCUACUCAUCUACGAGCUCGUUCCUGAAGGCAGCCUUGACCGACACAUAUACAGCACUAGCCGCCUCCUCACGUGGUCAGAGAGGUACAAGAUCAUCCUUGGUCUAGGAUCUGCACUACGCUAUCUCCACACAGAGUGGGAUCAAUGUGUGCUGCAUGGCGACAUCAAACCCAGCAACAUACUACUUGACUCAUCAUGCAACACCAAGCUCGCGGAUUUCGGGCUGGCU
rnacentral:rRNA from 1 species